rnacentral:rRNA from 1 species
AGCAGCCGCGGUAAUUCCAGCUCCAAUAGCGUAUAUUAAAGUUGUUGCAGUUAAAAAGCUCGUAGUUGAAUUUCGGGAUUGACACAUCGGUCGUGCCUUAAGGGGUAUGAACUGGUGUAGUCAAUUUCUCACCUUCUGGAGAACCGCAAUGCCCUUAAUUGGGUGUCGCGGGGAACCAGGACCUUUACUUUGAAAAAAUUAGAGUGUUUAAAGCAGGCAUUUUGCUUGAAUACAUUAGCAUGGAAUAAUAAAAUAGGACGGAUGAUUCUAUUUUGUUGGUUUCUAGGACCACCGUAAUGAUUAAUAGGGAUAGUUGGGGGCAUUAGUAUUCAAUUGUCAGAGGUGAAAUUCUUGGAUUUAUUGAAGACUAACUACUGCGAAAGCAUUUGCCAAGGAUGUUUUCAUUAAUCAAGAACGAAAGUUAGGGGAUCGAAGACGAUCAGAUACCGUCGUAGUCUUAACCAUAAACUAUGCCGACUAGGGAUCGGAUGAUGUUAAUUUUUAAUGACUCAUUCGGCGC